UACGAAGGGGGCUAGCGUUGUCCGGAAUCACUGGGCGUAAAGGGUGCGUAGGCGGGUCUUUAAGUCAGGGGUGAAAUCCUGGAGCUCAACUCCAGAACUGCCUUUGAUACUGAGGAUCUUGAGUUCGGGAGAGGUGAGUGGAACUGCGAGUGUAGAGGUGAAAUUCGUAGAUAUUCGCAAGAACACCAGUGGCGAAGGCGGCUCACUGGCCCGAUACUGACGCUGAGGCACGAAAGCGUGGGGAGCAAACAGG
rnacentral:rRNA from 1 species